GCUYAGCCCUAAACAUAAAUAAUUAACGUAACAAAAUUAUUUGCCAGAGAACUACUAGCAACAGCUUAAAACUCAAAGGACUUGGCGGUGCUUUACAUCCCUCUAGAGGAGCCUGUUCUAUAAUCGAUAAACCCCGAUAAACCUCACCAUCUCUAGCUAAAUCAGUCUAUAUACCGCCAUCUUCAGCAAACCCUUAAAAGGAAGAGCAGUAAGCACAAUAAUAAUACAUAAAAAAGUUAGGUCAAGGUGUAACCUAUGAGGUGGGARGAAAUGGGCUACAUUUUCUAAUAAAUAAGAAUCUAUACCACGGAAAUUUUUAUACGGAACUAAAAAUCAAAGGUGGAUUUAGUAGUAAAUUAAGAAUAGAGAGCUUAGUUGAAUUGGGCCAUAAAGCAC
rnacentral:rRNA from 1 species